UUCGAAGGGGGCUAGCGUCGUUCGGAUUUACUGGGCGUAAAGCGCACGUAGGCGGUUUGUUAAGUGAGAGGUGAAAUCCCAGAGCUCAACUCUGGAACUGCCUUUCAUACUGGCAAGCUAGAGUCCGGAAGAGGUAAGUGGAACUCCUAGUGUAGAGGUGGAAUUCGCAGAUAUUAGGAAGAACACCUGUGGCGAAGGCGGCUUACUGGUCCGGAACUGACGCUGAGGUGCGAAAGCGUGGGGAGCAAACAGG
rnacentral:rRNA from 1 species